rnacentral:rRNA from 1 species
AUGAAUGGGUCCUGCUGCAGUGGAUGCCCGGUGGAAGAAGGAGGACAAGACGCAUGCCAUCAUAAUUCUGGUCGCUGCGGCGAUCGCUCUGCUUCUUGUGGUGCUGUUGAUUAUCCAUCCGUGGAAGAAGUAGAGAAGACUAGUCAUUUGCCGGGUCAGGUUUCCGAUUAUCGCUCCCUCACCCUCCUAUCGCUCCAGGCUCCCUCGAUUGCCCCCUCCAGGGCGAUCAAGGGGGCAACCCUAGCGCCCCGGCCGCCGCACCCUCCCCCCUCUCCUCCACCUCAUCGUCCCCAGAGACGUGCGCCGGCUAAGCCCGGAGUCCGCCAAACCCUCAAGUCGAUCUUGAAGAACUUCAUGUAUAACUUCAACAAAUUGUGUGUAUGGGUUCAAACAGUUCCGAUUCCAAACAGUUUAACCCAUGGGUCGUGCCCAGGUUGUGAGAACUGUUUAGGCCUGUUUGCUCCACGGCUGCCCGUAACAGCGGACGUGGUUGGUGCGGGGUUGCGCGCAAGGUGUUUGUUGAAAAGCAAAGCACAAGUAAGCCAUGAGGGACUUCACAUCCAGAUCGCGGACAGGGCGUCGUCCUCGAGCAGCGCUGGCAAGGGCGUUGCGCGGAACCUGGUCACCUGCCUCUACCGGACGCAGUUCGCCGGCCGGCCCCGCGUCAUCUGGGUCACCUGGAGCAAUGUCGGCCUUGUAGAGGCUCUGGACGCCAAUGCUGAGGCCCUGCCCCAUACACGUCGGCGUCCAGAGCCCUGGCGUCCAGAGCCUCUACAAGGACCUGUCGGCUGCCAGGUUCGGCGCGGGGACAGAGCCGCUGGAAGGCUUCUACGUGGCGCUCGGCGGAUGGAGUUACGGCUCCUCCUCUUGCACGAGGCGUCCCUACAGAGGUCGCGGAGGCCGCCAGACUUUGACUGGUUGGUCGGCUUCCCGGGCGCCUGGAUGAACCUGCCGUUGGCCACCGCCGGGCUGUCCACGAUGUGCACGGCACGACGCUUGCCCUCCAGGUCGCGCGGUCGUACACGCGCACCCACCCUCGCUGCCGUCCCUCGCACUGCAUCUUUGCUCAUUUCCUUGGUUUGCUUCAUGUGUUCUGUGCGUCGAGACCGGAGCUACCGGAGGUGCCGGUGGACACAUACUGGAGCGAAUGGAGUACUGACGGCCUUCUGGGCUCUGUCCGUCUGUGGCAGCAGCCACCUGGUUCUUAUUUAUAGGCAUCACCACUUGCUGUUGCUUUGCCGUCGUAGCUCUUGCCACCGCACUAUCACUCUGCUCCUCUGCUGCUCCUAUGUUCUGCAGUGGGUGAGGAGGUGGGCUCGCCAUUGA